GAUGAACGCUGGCGGCGUGCCUAAUACAUGCAAGUCGAGCGAACGGACGAGAAGCUUGCUUCUCUGAUGUUAGCGGCGGACGGGUGAGUAACACGUGGAUAACCUACCUAUAAGACUGGGAUAACUUCGGGAAACCGGAGCUAAUACCGGAUAAUAUUUUGAACCGCAUGGUUCAAAAGUGAAAGACGGUCUUGCUGUCACUUAUAGGUGGAUCCGCGCUGCAUUAGCUAGUUGAUAAGGUAACGGCUUACCAAGGCAACGAUGCAUAGCCGACCUGAGAGGGUGAUCGGCCACACUGGAACUGAGACACGGUCCAGACUCCUACGGGAGGCAGCAGUAGGGAAUCUUCCGCAAUGGGCGAAAGCCUGACGGAGCAACGCCGCGUGAGUGAUGAAGGUCUUCGGAUCGUAAAACUCUGUUAUUAGGGAAGAACAUAUGUGUAAGUAACUGUGCACAUCUUGACGGUACCUAAUCAGAAAGCCACGGCUAACUACGUG
rnacentral:rRNA from 1 species